UCUUUACCUGGGCAUUGGACAAGACAACCUUUUUCUAUUGUAAAGAGCAAGUUCUUGCAGCCCAGACCACAAUUCAACUAAAGAAGUGAUGGAUUUUAGACACAUUUUAGCAUAUUGCCAAGUUCAGUAAGAUGCGACAAAAAGUGGAAGGACAAGUUCAUAGAGGACUACCUGGUGGGGACUUGAGAGAAGGCCUUCUUGGUGGCUGUGCCCAGACUCUGGAACUUCUUGCCAAGAGCUGGUAGAUUUGCCCCCUCCCUGUUAACCUUCUGGCAGCAGAAUAGUGCCUUACACUACCUGAGAGGUGUAAAAGAAGAAAUUGGAGGAUGUGAAAUCUGCUUUCCCUCUCAUCAUAGCCAGAAAGAAAGAAAGAAAGAAAGAAAGAAAGAAAGAAAGAAAGAAAGAAAGAAAG